GACGAACGCUGGCGGCGUGCUUAACACAUGCAAGUCGAACGGUAAGGUCCUUCGGGGUACACGAGUGGCGAACGGGUGAGUAACACGUGGGUGAUCCGCCCUGCACUUCGGGAUAAGCCUGGGAAACUGGGUCUAAUACCGGAUAGGACUCCGGACUGCAUGGUCUGGGGUGGAAAGCUUUUGCGGUGUGGGAUGGGCCCGCGGCCUAUCAGCUUGUUGGUGGGGUGAUGGCCUACCAAGGCGACGACGGGUAGCCGGCCUGAGAGGGUGACCGGCCACACUGGGACUGAGAUACUGCCCAGACUCCUACGGGAGGCAGCAGUGGGGAAUAUUGCACAAUGGGCGCAAGCCUGAUGCAGCGACGCCGCGUGAGGGAUGACGGCCUUCGGGUUGUAAACCUCUUUCAGCAUCGACGAAGCGAAAGUGACGGUAGGUGCAGAAGAAGGACCGGCCAACUACGUGCCAGCCGCCGCGGUAA
rnacentral:rRNA from 1 species